UUGGAUCGUUUUGUACCUUCUGUCUGAGUAACGCAAACUAGCAAGCAAUGCCGUUUUGCCUGGUUGCAAGGUGGCUGUGACCCUCCAGCAGCUGGCUGGCGGAACCGCUGCCCCUGCUUGGUGGGGAGAGGCUGAUCUUCCCGGGUCUGGGGACUCUCAGCUGAGUCAGUACAACUGGCUCAUGCUCUGAUGGCUUCUAUGGAUUCAUGCUAGGUGGCCGUUGAUGUCUGUACUUUAUACUCUGCAAUGAUACAGACUCUGAAGGACUCUGCAAAUUUAACCCACACAGACUUCUCAAUCCGGUUAUGGUUGCCAUCACUUACUGGUUCUUUUGUGGUGCUUUUUGGUAGCUAAGGAGUUUCUUUCUGUGUAUGUAAGAGUGCACCUCCAGAACAAAAUGUCUGCUGAUGCCAAAUCUCCGGUUUGAGCUGGCCACCCAUACAUGGUGGUAUGAACAUUGUGCGUCUGUGUGACGGUUGCUGUCUUUGUUGUGUCUUCCAGACUGAAUCAGAGGCCACCAAAAGAAGUGUGAACUGUCAGAGAAGAGACAGGCUGUAUUUCUUCGACAGGGAGUGUCACUGCUAAUGGACCAGGGUGGAUUUCUGUCUUGGCUCUUUCAAAACCAGUGUGUUCUUGCGUAAACCUGAGGAAGCAAAGGAUUAAUGCAGCUUGUUCUUAACCAGCACUGUAUUGUAUUGGCUUAAUUUGUUAGGGCCAUGUGCCAGCCUGUAGGGAACCAGGGCGGUAUUAGUCCAGUGGUACGGGAUGGACUCGGGCUGCUGGGGUAUGUUUUAUGCACGUCAUGUUGCUCCUAUUUCCAGGCCAGUGUUUUGUGCCCUCACAGCAGGAUGUUUUUGAGGCUGUCCUAGAAGCAUUUAAAAGGAUUCCAACGCUUUUGCAGGGAUGGCAAAUGAUAUCCUGGGUUAAUGCAGUGAUGAACUUGUAUCACAACAUCACAGCAUUUUAAUGGGAACAAGAAGGGAGAGGUGGAGUGGGGCAGGAACUUCUGAUGCUGGCUUUGCCACCGAGGAAUACAUGUUAUGUAACUAGACUCUGAAAAUUAAAUGUUACGCUUCCGUGCUCUUCUUA